rnacentral:tRNA from 1 species
GCAGAUUAGUGCAAUGAAUUUAAGCUUCAUAUAUAAAUAUGAUUAUUUUUCUAGAA